GGAGAGCGGCGGCAGCGGCGAGAGCUCGGGCGGCCCCGCCGCCUCCUCGCGAGCGCCGCGCGCCCUGGCCCGGCUCGCAUGCGAGUCACGUCCGCCCCCUCGCAGCGGCCGCCCCGAGACGCCGGCCCAGCCGAGUGAUGAGAACAGACGUCAAACUGCCUUAUGAAUAUUGAUGCGGAGGCUAGGCUGCUUUCGUAGAGAAGCAGAAGGAAGCAAGAUGGCUGCCCUUUAGGAUUUGUUAGAAAGGAGACCCGACUGCAACUGCUGGAUUGCUGCAAGGCUGAGGGACGAGAACGAGGCUGGCCAACAUUCAGCAGCAGACCCUCUCAAGAUUGUCUACCUACCCUCACUCCUGUUGAGUUACCACGCAUGGAAGCAGGAGAUGGGCACAGCAGCAGCCAACAGGCCAUGAUCCAGGAGGAGCAGUGAGGGACAGAGCUGCUGAAUUCAUUCAGAGGGCAGCCUUGUGGAUGGCCCCGAAGCAAGCCUGAUGGAACAGGAUAGAACCAACCAUGUUGAGGGCAACAGACUAAGUCCAUUCCUGAUACCAUCUCCUUCUCCCAUUUGCCAGACAGAACCUCUGGCUAUCAAGCUCCAGAAUGGAAGCCCAUUAACUGAGAGACCUUAUCCAGAAGUAAAUGGAGACACCAAGUGGCAGUCUUUCAAAAGUUAUUCUGGAAUACCCCACAUGAAGGGAAACCAGCAUAGUCGUGUGAGUCCGGACUUUAUACAAGAAGGUAGAGGGUAUUCCAAGUGUUUGCAAAAUGGAGGGAUAAAACGCACAGUUAGUGAACCAUCUCUCUCUGGGCUCCAUCAGAACAAGAAACUGAAACAAGACCCAAAGGCUAAUGGGGAAAGGACGAACUUCGGGGAAAGCCAAGAAAGAAAUCCAGGCAAAGGCAGCAGUCAACCAAAUGUCUCCGACUUGAGUGGGAAGAGAGAAUCUGAGAGCUUUGCAGCCCAAGAAAAUGAAGUUAAGGAUUUCACCAGUUUUUCAACACAUAACUGCAUUGGGUCUGAAAAUCCAGAGCUUCAGAUUCUGAAUAAGCAGGAGGGAAAGAAUGCUAACUACUACGACAAGAACAUUCGUAUUCUUAAAAACCAGGCAGUGCUAAUGCCUAAUGGUGCUACAGUUUCUGCCUCUUCCAUGGAAAACACACGCGGUGAACUCCUGGAAAAAACACUGUCUCAAUAUUAUCCAGAUUGUGUUUCCAUUGCGGUGCAGAAAACCACAUCUCACAUACAUGCCAUUAACAGUCAGGCUACUAAUGAGUUGUCCUGUGAGAUCACUCACCCAUCGCAUACCUCAGGGCAGAUCAAUUUUCCGCAGACCUCGAACUCUGAGCUGCCUCCAGAGCCAGCUGCAGUGGUGACUGAGGCCUGUGAUGCUGAUAGUGCCAGUAAACCAGCUGCAAUUCUAGGGACCUGUCCUUUUCAGAAACCAGAACAACAGAAAGCAGUUUUUGAGAUGUGCCCAUCUCCAGCGCAAAACAGUCACAUCCAGGGAACCAUAAAGCUAGUAUCUGGUGAAGAAUUCUGUUCAGGUUCUGGCAGCAAUGUGCAGGCUCCCGGUGGCAGCUCUGAGCGGUAUUUAAAGCAAAAUGAAAUGAAUGGUGCUUACUUCAAGCAAAGCUCAGUGUUCACUAAGGAUUCCUUUUCUGCCACUACCACACCACCACCAUCACAGUUGCUUCUUUCUCCCCCUCCUCCUCUUCCACAGGUUCCUCAGCUUCCUUCAGAAGGAAAAAGCACCCUGAGUGAUGGAGGUUUGGAAGGACACCAUCACUACCCCAACCAAAGUAACACAGUUCUUUUAAAGGAAAUGAAAAUAGAGAGUCAGCCUGAGGCACCACCAUCCCAGACUCCUAAUCCAUCUACACAUGUAUCCAACCCCCCUCUGAUGCUUCCAGAAAAGCCGCAGAAUAAUUAUGUUAACAAGAGUGACAUACGGACUCCAGGGACAAUGACUGUUCCAUUGUCCUCUGAGAAAACAAGACAAAUAACAGAACAUCUCAAGCAUAACCCACCAAUUCUUGGUAGCAGUGGAGAUCCACAGGACCACAGCCAGCAGUUGAUGGGACACAAAGAGCAAGAGACUGUCAAGAAUCAAGACAAGGAACAAACACGAGACCUUGUGCUCCAAACACAGCCCUAUCUAAAAUCAGGAUGGAUUGAAUUGAAGGCCCCUCCCUAUCAUCAAGGAGAAUCCCAUCCAAAAUGUAAUGAGGCAACCCUGCGGUCAAUUCUUCAGUAUCAGUCCAACCCCUCCAAUCACAUGACCUCCAAACAAUACACUGGAAAUUCCAACAUGCCUGGAGGGCUCCCAGGGCAAGCUUAUAUCCAGAAAACAAUGCAGCCAGACCAGAGGCCACAAAGGUAUCAUGUUGAGAUGAAUCAAGGACAGUCUCAAGGUACAGUGGACCAGCAUCUCCAGUUCCAAAAACCCUCACUCCAGGUGCACUUCUCCAAAACAGACCCUUCACCUGAAGCUCAUAGGCAGUCACUGUGUGCCCCGAGAUUUCAUUUUCAGCAGAGACCAGAUCCCCAAACUGAGAAGCUCAUACCCCUGACAUUAAAACAGCACUUGAAUCAACAGGCUUCAGAGACCGAGCCAUUCUCAAAUUCGAACCUUUUGCAACAGAAGCCUCAUAAGGAGGCGGCACAAACGCUACCAUCCCAGAAUUCACAUCUCUCUCAGAGUCAGCAACAGCAGCAGAAAUUACAAAUGAAGAAUAAAGAACAAAUGCCCCAGACUUUUUCUCAUCCCCAAAGCAACAGUGAUCAGCAAAGAGAAGGGUCAUUCUUUAGCCAGAUUAAAGUGGAAGAAUGCUUUCACGGUGAAAAUCAAUUUUCAAAAUCAAGUGAGUACCAGACUCAUAAUACCCAAAUGGGACUGGAACAAGUACAGAAUAUGAAUAGUAGAAAAUCCCCUUAUGGUCAGAUCUUGAAAUCAAAUGGAAGCAAAGUACAGAUUUCUUGUUCAAACAGUACACACAUAGUUCCAGAGAAUAAAGAACAGACUGUAAAUUCUGAACUUGUUGCAGGAAACAAGACCCCAAACUUGCAUCACAUGCAAUAUUUUCCUAAUAAUGUGAUCCCAAAGCAAGAUAUUCUUCACAGGUGCUUUCAAGAACAAGAACAGAAGCCUCAACAAGCUUCAGUUCUACAGGGAUAUAAAAGUAGAAACCAAGAUAUGUCUGGUCAGCAAGCUGCACAAAUUGCUCAGCAAAGGCACGUGAUGCAAAACCAAGCAAACACAUUCCCUGUGCCCGAUCAGGCAGGAAGUCACAUUCAGACCCUGCCUCAGAAGGACAUUCACAAGCAUGCUGCUCUAAGGUGGCAUCUCUUGCAGAAGCAAGAACAGCAGCAAACACAGCAACUCCAAGCUGGGUCUUGCCAUGAACAGAUGCACAGGUCAAUUAAAGUCGAACCUGGAUCCAGGCCCCAUGCUUGUAUGCACCCCAUGUCGGCACAGCCCGAAAACAAAAUGUGGAAAAAGAUACCUAAGCAAGAGAUUCCACCUCCAAACUGUGAUAAUGUGCAGCAAAAGAGCAUCCUUGAGACCAUGGAGCAGCAUCUGAAGCAAUUUCAAGUCAAAUCAUUAUUUGACCAUAAGGCUCUUACUCUCAAAUCACAGAAGCAAGUAAAAGUUGAAAUGUCAGGGCCAGUCACAGUUUUAACCAGACAAACCACUGCUGCAGAACUUGAGAGCCACACCCCAGCUUUAGAGCAACAAGCAAUGCCUUCUUCUUCAGAAAAGACACCAACCAAAAGAACAGCUGGUUCUGUUCUCAAUAAUUUUUUAGAGUCACCUUCCAAAUUACUAGAUACUCCUAUAAAAAAUUUAUUGGAUACACCUGUCAAGACUCAAUAUGAUUUCCCAUCAUGCAGAUGCGUAGGUUUGGACAGAAGGGUAAAGCUAUUAGGAUUGAAAGAGUCAUCUAUACUGGUAAAGAAGGCAAAAGUUCUCAGGGAUGUCCUAUUGCCAAAUGGGUAAGUGUGACUUGACAAGGUCUUUGGUCUUCAGUCUUGUGCAUUUUGAUUCAUUGAUCUAACCUCAGAAUUGGGUGACCCAGGUCAUAGAGUCAUUUAUGCCGGCUGAAAGAAGUCUUGCUUAUAUUUAUUUUACCACGUGUUAUCUCUCAAGAAAAAGGCAGAUUAGUUUAAAAUCAUGUAAAAACUAUAUUUAACUGUAAUUAAAUUGUGAGGCAGAGGUCUGUUCACAUGCCUGCUAAAAGUAUAACUGCCUGGCAUGUGAAGAAGAGGUCCUUUAUCCUUUAAAUACCUGCAGUUAAUCUUUAUAUUGUCAUUUAUGAAGACCUUGAACUUUAAAGACCUGCCUGUCUUCCCUCUCACUCUGGCUCUAAUGCAGAGGCACUGCCCCACUGUGCUGGGUAGAGCCUACUACACACCGAGGACUUUGGCAUCUGUCCCGGUUCUGACCGCAGGUUAAGCCCCCACUUUCAGAGAUGGGCAGCAAAAGGCAAGUUGCAGGUGCUGGGAAAUGUGGCCCUAAUUGUGACCCAGACAUGAGAAAAUAGGCAGACAUCAAUCAGUGCUCUCACCUGCUGCAAGUGACCCUUGUUUUGUUUUGGUUGGGGUGGGGGGUGUUGGGGUGGAAUGGUGACCCGAACAGGUGGUUCGCAGAAGCGGCAGCGAGGAGAAGUUACUGUGUUUGGUGCGGGAGCGAGCUGGCCACACAUGUGAGGCUGCAGUGAUUGUGAUUCUCAUCCUGGUGUGGGAAGGAAUCCCCCUGCCUCUGGCUGACAAACUGUACUCCGAGCUCACCGAAACACUGAGGAAAUAUGGCACGCUCACCAAUCGUCGGUGUGCCCUGAAUGAAGAGAGAACCUGUGCCUGUCAGGGGCUGGACCCAGAGACCUGUGGUGCCUCCUUUUCUUUUGGUUGUUCAUGGAGCAUGUACUACAAUGGAUGUAAGUUUGCCAGAAGCAAGAUCCCAAGAAAAUUUAAGCUGCUUGGGGAUGACCCAAAAGAGGAAGAAAAACUGGAGUCUCAUUUACAAAACUUGUCAACUCUUAUGGCACCAACAUACAAGAAACUUGCACCUGAUGCAUAUAAUAAUCAGAUUGAAUAUGAACACAGAGCACCAGAGUGCCGUCUGGGUCUGAAGGAAGGCCGUCCAUUCUCAGGGGUCACUGCAUGUUUGGACUUCUGUGCUCAUGCCCACAGAGACUUGCACAACAUGCAGAAUGGCAGCACACUGGUAUGCACCCUCACUAGAGAAGACAAUCGAGAAAUUGGAGGAAAACCUGAGGAUGAGCAGCUUCACGUGCUACCUCUCUACAAAGUCUCCGAUGUGGAUGAGUUUGGGAGUGUGGAUGCUCAGGAGGAGAAAAAACGAAACGGUGCCAUUCAGGUACUGAGUUCUUUUCGGCGGAAAGUCAGGAUGUUAGCAGAGCCCGUCAAGACAUGCCGACAAAGGAAACUAGAAGCCAAGAAAGCUGCAGCUGAAAAGCUUUCCUCUUUGGAAAACAGCACAAAUAAGAACGAAAAGGAAAAGUCAGCCUCAGCACGUACAAAACAGAUUGAAAAUGCAAGCCAGUCUAAACAGUUGGCAGAACUUUUGCGACUUUCAGGACCAGUCAUGCAGCAGCCCCAGCAGCCCCAGCCGCCCCAGCCACCCCAGCCGCCCCAGCUGCCCCAGCCACCCCAGCCCCAAAUACAGAAGCAACUUCAACAGCCACAGAAGCAGCCUCCACAGUUGCAGCAACCCCAGCAGCAGCAGCCGCAUCACCACGUAACUAGUAACCCUCAGUCAGAGUCUGUCAGCUCUUACUCUUCUUCUGGAUCUACCAACCUAUACAUGAAACGGCCCAAUCCAGUUAGCCCUUAUCCAAGCUCUUCACACACUUCAGAUAUUUAUGGAGGUGCCAACCCUGUGAACCUCUAUGCCACCUCAUCCCAAGCUGCAGGUUCAUAUUUGAAUUCUUCAAAUCCCAUGAGCCCCUACUCUGGGCUUCUGAAUCAGAAUAACCAAUAUCCAUCAUAUCAAUGCAAUGGAAACAUAUCAAUGGACAACUGCUCCCAGUAUCUAGGCUCCUAUUCUCCCCAGUCUCAGCCUAUGGAUCUGUAUAGGUAUCCAAACCAAGGCCCUCUCUCUAAGCUAAAUCUACCACCCAUCCAUACACUUUACCAGCCCAGGUUCAGAAAUAGCCAGAGUUUUACUUCUAAAUACUUAGGUUAUGGAAACCAAAAUGUGCAAGGAGAUGCCUUUAGCAGUUGUACUGUUAGACCAAACGUACACCAUGUAGGAGCAUUUCCUCCUUAUUCCGCUCAUGAGAUGGAUGGCCAUUUUAUGGGAGCCGCCUCCAGAUUACCGCCCAAUUUGAGCAACCCAAACAUAGACUAUAAAAAUGGUGACCAUCACCCGUCUUCUCAUUUAAUCCAUAACUACAGUGCAGCUCCAAGCAUGUUCAACAGCUCUCUUCAUGCGCUUCACCUCCAGAACAAGGAGAAUGACAUGCUUUCCCAUACAACGAAUGGGUUUUCCAAGAUGCUUCCAGGUCUUAACCAUGACAGAACUGCUUCUGUCCAAGAAGGCUUACACAAAUUACACGAUGCUGGCAGUCAGGAAAAGCAGCUGUCUGCUGCCGAAGACAACGACGAGGUCUGGUCUGACAGUGAGCAGAGCUUUCUGGAUCCUGACAUCGGGGGAGUGGCUGUGGCUCCAACUCAUGGGUCAAUUCUCAUCGAGUGUGCAAAGCGCGAGCUUCAUGCCACAACCCCUUUGAAGAAUCCCAACAGGAACCACCCCACCAGGAUCUCCCUUGUCUUUUACCAGCACAAGAGCAUGAAUGAGCCAAAACACGGCUUGGCACUCUGGGAAGCCAAAAUGGCCGAAAAAGCCCGUGAGAAAGAGGAAGAGUGUGAAAAAUAUGGCCCAGACUAUGUGCCUCAGAAGACCCACGGCAAAAAAGUGAAACGGGAGCCCACUGAGCCGCAUGAACCUUCAGAGCCCACUUACCUGCGCUUCAUCAGGUCCCUUGCUGAAAGGACCAUGUCCGUGACCACAGACUCCACAGUAACUACAUCUCCAUAUGCCUUCACUCGGGUCACCGGGCCUUACAACAGAUACGUAUGAUGUUGCCCCUGGCGUUGGUUACCUCAUUUGAAAAGACCACAACCAACCUGCCCAUGGUCGUGUCUUUCUCAUGACGUGGGCAGUGGGGAAAGGACACAGUAUUCUUGACAGAUGUGGUGAGAUGAACCUCAGCUCACCAGCAAAAAAAGAGGUCAUCUUACCAUAGCACUUAAUUUCCACUGACUCCUAGGUGGUCACAGAUGAGAUCUGGGCAAAAGACCAAAGCAUUCUAUGCAAAGGGAAGGUGGAGAAGAAAGUGUUCCACAAUUUACAUUUUUUAAACACUGGUUCUAUUAUUGGAUGAAAUGAUGUGUAAAUGUGAUUUUUCCCCCCUUACAACUCUACACAUCUGUGACCACUCUUAAUAAUACCAAGUUUGCAUAGUCAUGGAACACAAAUCAGACAAGUACUGUAGUAUUACAGGGGCAGGAAUCUUAAAAUACCAUCUGGUGCUGAAUACACAAUGUACUGAAAUACUGGAAUUAUGGCUUUUUAAAGUGCAGUUUUUAAUCUUAAUAUUAACUUUUAUUUAUCAAAAUAGCUACAGAAAACAUAAAUGAAUAGACAGCAAAACACUGAAUUUGUUUGGAUGUUCUAAGAAAUGGUGCUAAGAAAAUGGUGUCUUUAACAGUCAAAAAUUUAAUGCCUUUAUAUCAUCAAGAUCCUAUCAGUGUCCUCCAAUGCCCUUGAAUAAUGGGGGUACAUUUUCAUUCAAGUUUUUAAUCACAAGUACCUAUUCUUACACAAGCUUAGUUUUCAAAACGUGGACAUUUUAAAGGCCUCUGGAUUUUGCUCAUCCAGUGAAGUCCUCGUAGGACAAUAAAAGUAUAUAUGUACAUAUAUACACACACAUAUGUAUAUGUGCACAAACAUGUAUAUCUAUAAAUAUUUUAAAUGGUGUUUUAGAAGCACUUUGUCUACCUAAGCUUUGACAACUUGAACAAUGCUAAGGUACUGAGACAUUUAAAAAAAGUUUACUUUCAUUUUAGAAUGCAAAGUUGAUUUUUUUAAGAAAACAAGGAAAGCUUUUAAAAUAUUUUUGCUUUUAGCCAUGCAUCUGCUGAUGAGCAAUGUGUCCAUUUUUAAUACAGCCAGUUAAAUCCAAAAUGGGGCUUACUGGAGUCAAGGGAAUACAUUAGUCCACAAAAUACAUGUUUUCUGGUGCUCAUCUCACAUGCUAUCCUGUAAGACAGUUUUAUACAAAAUGGUAUGACAAGUUCAUUGCUCAAAUAUAUAGAAGUUCAAGAAUUUUCGAUUAACUGCAGGUAAUAAUUAACCGCAUGCUAUGGACUCAACGAAGCUAGUUCACUUAAGCCAAUGCUAUUUUAUGGAUCUGUAGCUCUUCAGUGAACUGAAUGGCAGUCUGCCUUUGUGUUGAUAAUUGUACAUUGUGAUGUUGUCAUUUCUUAGCUUAAGUGUCCUCUUUACCAGAGAGAUUGAGCAGACUGAUGCCUGCAUAAGAUGAAUAAACAGGGUUAGUUCCAUGUGAAUCUGUUAAUUAAAAAGGAAAAAAAAAAAAACAGGCAGCUGGUUUGCUGUGGUGGUUUUAAAUCAUUAAUUUGUAUAAAGAAGUGAAAGAGAUGUAUAGUAAGUAAAUUAAAUUGUAAACAAAACUUUUAUAACGCAAUGCUUUAGUAUUUUAGUACUGUAAAAAGAAAUUAAAUAUAUACAUAUAUAUAUAUAUAUAUGGAUUUGAAGCAGAAUUCACAUCAUGAUGGUGCUACUCAGCCUGCUACAGAUAUAUCAUAAUGUGAGCUAAGAAUUCAUUAAAGGUUUGAGUGAUGUUCCUACUUGUCAUAUACCUCAACACUAGUUUGGCAAUAGGAUAUUGAACUGAGAGUGAAAACUUAUAGCAUUGUGUACCAUCAUUUUUUUCCAAGUCUUUUUUUUAUUAAAAAAGAAAAAAGCGUACCUUUUUUCAAUACUUGAUUUCUUAGCAAGUAUAACUUGAACUUCAACCUUUUUGUUCUAAAAAUUCAGGGAUAUUUCAGCUCAUGUUCUCCAUAUGCCAACAUGUCACCUGUGUUUAUGUAAAAUUGUUGUAGAUUAAUAAAUAUAUUCUUUUUCAGGGAUUUAACCCUUUUAUUUUGAAUCCCUCCUAUUUUACUUGUAUAUGUCCUGAUGUAACUAAAACUAAUUUUGUAAAUGUGUUGGCUCUUUUUAUUGUAAAGAAAAGCAUUUUAAAAGUUUAGAGAAUCUUUUGACUGUUUCAAGCAGAAAAAAAAUACAUGAAAAUAGAAUGCACUGAGUUGAUAAAGGGAAAAUUGUAAGGCAGGAGUUUGGCAAGUGGCUGUUGGCUAGAGUCUUUAACUCUCUAAAAUGAAGAUGUUUUGAUCCAGUAAUCCAUUCAGGUAGCAAUCCAUGAGGUCAUCCCUACACAGGCAGAACACUUAGGGGUAAAUGUGCAGUGGACUAUACAAUUACAUCUUGGUCUAAGUAUAUUUUUUAUUGCAUUUCAAAUACUUUUUUUUUUUUUUUUUUUUUUUUUCCUUUUUUGGCCGCCCUGCAGCAUAUGGAGUUGCCAGGCCAGGGAUCAGAUCUAAGCCACGGUUGCAACCUAAGCCGCAGGUUCAGCAAAGCCUCAUCCUUAACCCACUGUGCUGGGCUGGGGACCAAACCUGUGUCCCAGCACUCCCAAGAUGCCGCCAAUCCCAUUGCGCCACAGUGGGAACUCUUCAAAUAAAUUCUUAAUCAAAGGAGACCUUUGAGUUUUAUUGGUCAAAUCUUUGUAACACGGCUUUUGUCUUAAAGAAAAAAAUUUCUCUAGUUUUUGGCUGUGACCAAUUUACGAACAUUUCAAAAAACAUUUGUAUAUGUCAAACCACAUGAUUUUCAUGUUUUGCAUCUACCAUAUAUCUAACCCCAGAUAAUCGGUAACUAUAUGCACAUUUGUUGGUUUUGAGUCAGCCAUUCCUAUGUGAAUGCAUGUUUGGUUUCGGUAUCAUCCACUGCCAUUUGUCAAACUGCUGGCCAACAAGAGCAGGAAGUAUAGUUUGGGGGUUUGAGGCGAGGUUGGGUGGGGAGGAGGAGAGGAAAUUGAGUGGCAUAUUGUAAAUAUCAGAUCUAUAAUUGUAAAUAUCAAACCUGCCUCAGUUAGGAUGGAUGGAAAGCAGAUCUCCAGUUUGCUUAUAUAGGAAUAUCAGGUUGACUAUAUAGCCAUACUUGAAAAUGCUUCUGAGUGGUGUCAACUUUACUUGAAUGAAUUUUUCAUCUUGAUUGACGCACAGUGGUGUACAGUUCACUUCUAAAGCUAGUGGUUAACUUGUGUAGGAACCUUUUGCAGUUUGACACUAAGAUAAUGAACUCUGUGCAUUUUUCUACGCUUUUUUUAAAAACUUAGUUUCAUUUCCUUUUCAUGAGGUGUUUGGUUUGUCUAUAAAAAUCUGAGGAUGGUUAUAAAUACUGUAAGUAUUGUAAUGUUAUGAAUGCAGGUUAUUGAAAGCGUUUAUUAUUAUAUCAUUCCUGAUAAUGCUAUGUGAGUGUUUUUAAUAAAAUUUAUAUUUAUUUAAUGCACUCUAA